AGGCUUGGUGAAACAUUCAGUGACAAUAAAUAAUACAGGCUAGGCUAAGAUAGUUAGAGUAGGCUACUCGAUGGUUUGAAUUGGGAUACGGCGAACGGUUACGCAUGAGCCGCGGCAACAGUUAGAACAGUGAAAGGACAAGCGCGAUCUAGUACAAGAAUACUUGGACGAAUACUCUAUUCAUUUGUUGGGGGAAACGUUGACUAAUUGUCGCCCAAACGACCAGAACAUGAAGAAAAGUCCUGCGAAUUCAGCUCUAAAGAGGUCAUUUGAGGUGGAGGAUGUGGACACCUCGGUCAACUCCUCGCCAGGCUCCCGCCGGGCGCCCAACAACACCAACCACCGCCCCGUCAUGUCCCCCACCAGCAUCUACUACCGUGAACUGGGCGCCAGCAAUAACAACAACGGCUCCAUCUCCAAGACCAUCAUGGGAGGGGGAAGCUCCAAGCCUCCUGAAUCCAUAUCCCGGGGACGCACGGAGCUCUCCAUCGACAUUUCCUCCAAGCAGGUGGAUCCAACCAGCCCUGGUUCCCUCCGAUUCGGAGCAAAACGACCCGAGGUCCUAGGCCACUCCAAGACGCCCGAGAUGGGCCACAAACGGGAGGUGGCCUUCUCUAAAACGCCCCAGGAGGUGGUGAUUCGCACAGGGGCCCGGACCCCCGAGCCACCCAGCCAAGCCCGGAGGUUCGAGCCCCUCAGUCUGGGGGAUGGCCCGGCCGUGAGGACCACACCAGGGAUCAGCGUCACCAAAGCACCCGAGACAACGGGGAAUGGAAAGAACAACCACGAGAACCAUGGUCAUCAUGCACCGGUCCACCACCCGCACCAUCCCAACCCCCACCACAACACCAUCGUCACCACCAUCCGCUGCUCCUCGCCCAACCGCACCAAGUCCCCAAACCCUGACAGGUCAGAGGUCAAUCCGAGCCACAGCAACAUGUCCGCCCCACCACAUCCGCAACCCCCUGCCAAGGGAGCGUCACAUGGCGCUGGCGACUUCAGCUACGUGGGCAUCGAUGCCAUCCUGGAGCAGAUGAGGAGGAAGGCCAUGAAACAGGGCUUUGAGCUCAACAUCAUGAUCGUCGGUCAGAGUGGUCUGGGGAAGUCGACCCUGAUGAACACCCUGUUCAAGUCUAAGGUCAGCAGGAAGUCGGUGGUGUCCACCCCCGAGGAGAGGAUCCCCAAGACCAUCGAGAUCAAGUCCAUCAGUCACGACAUCGAAGAGAAGGGCGUGAGGAUGAAACUAACGGUAAUCGACACUCCCGGCUUUGGGGACCACAUCAACAACGAGAACUGCUGGCAGCCAAUUAUGAAGUUCAUCAACGACCAGUAUGAGCAGUACCUGCAGGAGGAGAUCAACAUCGACAGGAAGAAGAGGAUCCCAGACUCACGGGUUCACUGCUGCAUGUACUUCAUACCACCUACUGGACACUGUCUGAGGCCCCUGGAUGUGGAGUUUAUGAGUCGUCUGAGUAAAGUGGUCAACAUAGUCCCUGUCAUCGCCAAGGCAGACACACUCACCCUGGAGGAGAGGGACUUCUUCAAACAGACGAUCAGGGAAGAGCUGCGAGCCAACGGGAUCGACGUCUACCCUCAGAAAGAGUUUGACGAGGAUGCUGAUGACAGGAUGAUCAAUGAUAAGAUCAGGGAAAUGAUCCCAUUUGCUGUGGUGGGGAGCAACCAGGAGUACCAGGUCAAUGGAAAGAGGCUUCUGGGCAGAAAAACUAAGUGGGGAACCAUAGAAGUUGAGAACAUUGCACACUGUGAGUUUGCCUACCUGCGAGACCUUCUCAUCAGGACCCACAUGCAGAACAUCAAGGACAUCACCAGUAGCAUCCACUACGAGGUGUACCGUGUCCGCAGGCUAAACGAGACCAACGGCCAGCCCAACGCCCAGCCACCCAACACACUGGUCAACCCACAGCAGGCCAACGGGGUGGCAGCACAGCACCAAGUCCUGACCCAUGAGAUGUAGAUGUCUUACCAUCUGCAGACAAAUACACACACACACACACACACACACACACAUAUAUAUAUAUAUAUAUAUAUCUUUAAUGGCUGGCAACUGUGACACACCACAUGCAAACACACCACGUGACACACACACACACACACACACACAUCCUAACUGGCUGACAUGGACUGUACACACUCCAAAGAGGAUUCCAAUAUCAAGUAUAUAAUGAUUCAUACAUGAUCAACUGCCAAGGUCAGAGCUGUUGGGUAAAGAGUACAAGAUGUUCCCUAGGGAGAUGGGAUGCCACAGUAUUAUAGCAUACAGAUGUGUACAGACCAGCUAUCGAAGUAUAGCACAUCAAUUAGCUCAACUAUAAAUAACUGGUCGGAAUGACCUGUUCUACGUUUGGAUUGUGUUGUCUAGAUAUUGGAGAUAUUAGGAGGUAGGGUUUAGGUUCUUUGUAUAUUUUUGGACACAUCUGCACUGCCCCGAAAAGCAGCAAUGCAGUGUGGAGCAGCUUUGAAAUCCCUUUUGUCUUUUUCUGUUGCGUUUUCAUAUGUUUCAGACCUCUUACCAAACCAUCCUGUCUAUGCCAAUGUCGUAUCUUGUUAACCGUAUCAUGUUCAUUCAUACAGUGCAUUUUACAUUUUACUGUUGUGUUUAUAAUGUUAUUGUGUUGUUGUCUGGAUGCAGGGAACAGACAUCCCUAUGCUCUCCGAACUUUCUCUAAACCAAAUAAAUGUCCUUUCUGUUUUAAAGAGAAGCCAAA